ACAACUACAGGCUCUAGAAAGUGGGAAUUCCAGGGAAUUCUAGACAGGAAAAAGCCAUAGAGGAAAGCCAAAUUCUGUGCAUAAACUCUGCCCAAAGUUGUGCCUGGUCUCUGAGCCACACACAUGUGGGACAGACACCAGCUAUGAUAAAAGAGCUGAACUGGUUUGAGCUACCCAUAGACAGAGUUUGCAAUCUUAGUCUAUCCAAGUUAAACACCUGCUAAAGAAGAAAACCAAAACCAACACUCUUCAGAGGAAUAUAACAGAACGUAAGAUCUCUACAACACAAUAUUCACAAUGUCCAAGAGGCAAUUAAAAAUUAUUUGUCAUUUGAAGAACCAGGAAAAUGUAACCCACUGUGAAACAAUCAACGGACAACAAACUUCAAAUGAUGUACAUGUUGGAAAUGACAGUCAAGGAUGUUAAAGUAGCUAUUACAGGCAUCCUCAAAUAUAUAAAGAAAAAUAUGCUUAUGAUAAAUGGAAAGAUAGGAAACCAAAUAAAAAAUAAAAAUAGAAAUCAUAAAAAACACAGAAGAAUUCUGGAAAAGCAAAAGACAAUAUCUGAAAUUUAAAAAAAACCCAAACUGGCUGUGUUUAGUAAGAGAAUGGAGAUGACAGGGAAGAAUCAGUGACCUUGAAGCCAGACCAACAGAAAUGACCCAAUCUGAAGAACAAAGAAUGAAAGGAUUGAAAAAGUCUGAGCCUCAGAGACCUGUGGGGCAAUAUCAAAAUAUCUUACAUACACAUAACCAGAGCUCCGGAUGUGGUGGAGAGAGAGAACAGGACAAAAAAUAUUUGAAAGUUAAUGACCCAAAAUAUCCCAAAUUUGGUGAAAGACUUAAAUUUUCAGAUUUAAUAAUCUCAGGAAACCCCACGCUGGAUAAAAUACGAAGGAAACUACACCUAGGGACACUAUUCUGAAACUUCUGGGAACCACAGGUAAAGAGAAAAUGCUGAAACCCUGCAGAGAAAAAUGAAACGCUUCACACAAUAGACCAACAACUGAAGUCAGCUGACUUGUCUGCCGGAACUAUGAAGGCUGAAAGACGGUGGAACGUUAUCUUCCAUCAAUAAAGGGACAAGAAAGCAAAGUGCCCAAAGGAGGGCAAAGUGUUGAAACAGAAUCCUGUAUCAACCAAAAAUACUCUUCAAGAGUGAAUGCUAAAUAAAAGCUUUUUUUUUAAGUAAAAGAAAACUGAAGAAUUUUUUCACCAGCAGAUCUGCACUACAAAAAAAUGCCAAAGGAAUUUCUUCAAGGUGGUGGGAACUGACGAUUGAAACUUGGAUAUUUAGGAGGUAAUGAAGAACACUGAAAAUGGCCUCUGUGGAGUCACCCAGGGGCUGGGUCACCAUCUGCAGCCCCAGAACGGAGAGGUGGCCAGGU
rnacentral:lncRNA from 1 species